rfam:Eubacteriaceae bacterium CHKCI005 isolate CHKC5 genome assembly, contig: {contig5}
CGAGCAAGCUGGACAGCCGCGAAAUGCUAGGGCCGAAAGGCUGCAUUUUGAGGAAAGUCCGGGCUUCACAGGGCAGGAUAGCGGUUAACGACCGCCGAGGGCGACCUUAGGGAAAGUGCAACAGAGAUAUACCGCCGUGGCAACAUGGUAAGGGUGGAAAGGCGAGGUAAGAGCUCACCGGCGCAUAGGAGACUAUGCGGCCCUGCAAACCCUAUCCGGAGCAACACCGCUGCGGGGAUGGCUGGCCCGGCCAUAGUUCCCCCAUGGUGGCUUGAGCUGCGCGGCAACGCGUAGACUAGAUAGAUGGCUGUCCACGACAGAACCCGGCUUAUAGGCUUGGUCGCAAA